rnacentral:rRNA from 1 species
CGGUAAUUCCAGCUCCAAUAGCGUAUAUUAAAGUUGUUGCAGUUAAAAAGCUCGUAGUUGGAUUUCGGAAGGUCUUUAGUGGUCCGCCCCUUCGGGGAGCGGGUCACUGGCCUCCUAUGUUCCUAACGGUCCUCAUCCGCGAGGGUGGGGAAUCAACCGCUAGGAUCGUUUACUUUGAGGAAAUUAGAGUGUUCAAAGCAGGCGUAACUCGCCUCCGAAUACGUUAGCAUGGGAUAAUGGAAUACGACUUCGGUCUUGUUUCGUUGGUUUCGCUUGGCUGAAGUAAUGAUUGAUAGGGACAGUUGGGGGCAUUAGUAUUUAGUUGUCAGAGGUGAAAUUCUAGGAUUUACUAAAGACUGACCAAUGCGAAAGCAUUUGCCAAGGAUGUUUUCAUUAAUCAAGAACGAAAGUAGGGGGAUCGAAGACGAUCAGAUACCGUCGUAGUCUCUACCGUAAACUAUGCCGACCAGGGAUCCGGAGAGUUUGCAUGGAUGACUCCCCGGGCACCUUGUGAGAAAUCAUAAGUGUUUGGGUUUUGGGGGGAGUAUGGUCGCAAGGCUGAAACUUAAAGGAAUUGACGGAAGGGCACCACCAGGAGUGGAACCUGCGGCUUAAUUUGACUCAACACGGGGAAACUUACGAGGUCAGGACACUGUGAGGAUUGACAGAUUGAAAGCUCUUUCUUGAUUCAGUGGGUGGUGGUGCAUGGCCGUUCUUAGUUGGUGGAGUGAUUUGUCUGGUUAAUUCCGUUAACGAACGAGACCUUAACCUG